CCUACGGGUGGCAGCAGUGAGGAAUAUUGGUCAAUGGGCGGAAGCCUGAACCAGCCAAGUCGCGUGAGGGAAUAAGGCCCUACGGGUCGUAAACUUCUUUUGUCGGGGAGCAAGGGCGGGGACGUGUCCCGGCCCGGAGAGUACCCGGAGAAAAAGCAUCGGCUAACUCCGUGCCAGCAGCCGCGGUAUUCCGGAGGAUGCGAGCGUUACCCGGAUUUAUGGGGUUUAAAGGGUGCGUAGGCGGGCUUUUAGGUCAGCGUGAAAAAUUCGGGGCUCAACCCCGUCCGGCCGUUGAAACUGGGGGGCUUGAGUGGGCGAGAAGAAGGCGGAAUGCGUGGUGUAGCGGUGAAAUGCAUAGAUAUGACGCAGAACCCCGAUUGCGAAGGCAGCCUUCCGGCGCCCUACUGACGCUGAGGCACGAAAGUGCGGGGAUCGAACAGGAUUAGAUACCCUUGUAGUC
rnacentral:rRNA from 1 species